rnacentral:misc_RNA from 1 species
CAUGGGAAGACCUCCUUGCUGUGACAAAGUUGGCAUCAAGAAGGGUCCAUGGACACCUGAGGAGGACAUUAUUCUAGUUUCUUAUAUACAAGAACAUGGUCCAGGAAAUUGGAGAUCAGUUCCUACUAAUACUGGUAAAAAUGCCAUAUGCUAUACAUUUAUCUUGUCUCUUUUCUGUUAUAUGUACAUGUUUCUGGAUUCAUAUAAGUUUUGCAUAUAUGAUCUUUGUUUAGAUUUUUCUUUCUUGGGUGAUUGAAUUAUGGGAAUUGGAACGUUAAUUCUUUAUUUUUGGCAAAAGGGUUGUUAAGAUGCAGCAAAAGUUGCAGGCUUAGA